UGCUGAAGCUGGCCUUGACCUUGUGAUCUUCCUGCCUCCAACUACCAAAUUGCUGGGAUUACAGGUGAGGGCAAAAUGAGAAGGUCCCUUUUAUGAACUGGAAGAGGGCCCUCUUCAGACUGUGACCACUCUGGAAACUUGACCUUGGACUUCCCAGCCCCCAAAACUGGUUUUGCUAAGUUUCCCAGGUUGGCUUUGAAUUUGGAAUCCUCCUGCCUCAUCCUCUGUUGUCUCUGGGAUUACAGAAAGCUUCAGGCUCAAGUUCACCCAUGGUGAUGUUUUGCAUAGAAAAUCACAGUACUGGAGGAGAUGGCCAGGCCCAGGAUGAAACCCUUUUUGAUUUUGGAAAACAUUUGUUUUACAUUGCCCA